CUCAACACAACGAAUGAUUCAAGUGGUUUUCCAAAAUUCAACUAAUAAUGAAAUAUAAAGUGACUUCUCCAGUCUCAAAAUUAUCCAACCCCUUCAUGGCAAACAUCUUUAGUAUUUACUAGAGCACACUUUUGCUGUUAUGACCUGCCAGACAUCAGUUUCUGGCUGUGUUCCUGAGCAAUCGUAGCCUAUUGCUCAGAGCAAUAGCCUCCAGUUCAGUAAUAUUCUUGGGUUUGCAUACUGCAACCACCUUCUUCAAAUCCCGCCAGAGAUUUUC